UUAUACAGCUCUUAUAAUUUCACCGUUUUCAAUAGGGAAACCCUAAUUCCGCGACGCCUCUCUAUAAGUACAAGCAAACAAGAAGCACAAGUCACACCAUCUCCCAUCAGCGGCUGAGUUAGGGUUUCGCCGAAUGAAGCUCUACUGUAAUAGGUUCUCACCCUCAUUUUCUCUCUCCAUAGAUAAACGUAUAUCUAUUUGUUUGAAUUUCUAUUUCCGAUUUGUUAAAAUGUCUCCGAGGGUCACUGAUGAUUAAUGUCAUUGGUCUCGUUCGUCGUAAUGGCAGAUCUUUCUGCCUUGCCGAUUAUCCUGAUUUAUAAUCUGAGUCCAGUCCGGAGUAUAAGCAAAAUGUAAACUUUUCUUUAUGUUGGUUUAUAAAUGAUUUUAGUUUUUUUUUAUAAUAAUUGUGUGUUCAUAUUUAGAUUGGCCUAUGAUUAAAAGUUUAUUCAAAGACAAGCAUAUGUCUGAAUCAUGCUAUGUUGAAUACCUAAUCUUCUCUAUGAGGCCAAUUAUGUCGUCUUCUUUUUCUCCUUUAAAAAGAAAGUUUAUAGGCGUUAGUGUGUUUAUUUUUUUUAUGGAGUAGGUAGCAUGAAGUGAGACUAAAUUGCAAAUCUGAUCCUCUUAUUUAUCAUGUUUUUGUUAAAUUGUUCCCUAAACUUUUUUUUAGAUUAAUUGUUCCUCAUAUAUGCUUUAAUCAUGCAAAAGUGUCCUCUAAUGUUCACCAAACUUUUUUUUAAGCACAAGUGUUCCUCAUAUAUGCGUUAGUCAUGCAAAAUUUGUGUAAAAAGUAUAUUCUUAUUAUUCUUUUUAAUUGCUUAUUUUUAUAUUAUCAUUUUGAAUUAAUAUGAAAUAUCGUUAAAUUCAAAAUUAGUAUAAAUUAAUUAAUUUUAGACAAUAUAAUUUUUUAAAUUAUAAACCUUACUAUUUUUUUUAUUUUAUCUAAAUGGUACUAAUAACGGUAUGAAAAAAAUAUAAUUAAUAAAAAUAAAAAUAAAUACUAGUUUAUAUAAACCUUACUACUUUUUUAUUAGUGUCAUUUAGAUAAAAUAAAAAAUAGUAAAUUUUAUAAUUUUGGUAGUUAUAUUGUUUAAAAAUAAUUAAUUUAUACUAAUUUUGAAUUUAAAGAUAUUUUAUAUUGAAUUCAAAAUGUCAAUAUAAAAAUAAAUAAAUAAAAAGAAGAGAGUAUACUUUUUACAUAUAUUUUAAAAAUAAAAAAUAAAAAAAAUGAGGAGAAAGGAGAGAGAAAAUCAAAUUUAAUAGGUUAAAAAAAUUAGAGGAACACAUUUGCAUGAUUAACGCAUUUAUGAGGAACAAUUAUGCAAAAAAAAAGUCUAUGGAACACAGAAGGAACAUAUUUGCAUGACUAACGCACCUAUGAGGAACAGUUAUGCUAAAAAAAAAGUUUAGGGAACAGUUUAGCAAAAACAUAACAAAUAGGAGGGUCAGAUUUGCAAUUUAGUCCAUGAAGUGAACUUGUCAGUCUAACCAGAUUCAUCUUUUCAAGCCAAUGAUGAGAGAUAGUGUACUAUGUAAUAUUAUGAUUAUUCAUGAUUCCAACAAUACUACUGCCUUCCUUCUGAGGCUUGGCUUUUGUUCUCCUUUGAUUUUUGUUUUUCAUUUUUUGUUUUAUAUUAGGGGCAUUGCUCCAACAUAUUUAAUGUAUACACACACAUUGAUAUGCAUUUGAAAUGGUACGGUCGUGUGAUGAUCUGAAGCAUAGUUCAAAUGACAAUCUAUAUGAUUAUAAAUUUGAAAUAGUCUUUCGCUCCUAUCUGAUGACCCCCAUUAUGAUAUAAUAUUGAUUUUAAUGUUAUGAACAUAAAUUUUGUUUAUUUAUUUGUGACCUCAAAUAAAGUCUUCAUAUUUGUUUGUUUUCAUUUAUGUUCCAAGGUUGUACUUUUGUAGAAAUAAAAAUGAGGGACUGUGAUGCCUAAAUGUGAUCUCGUUCGUCGUAAUGGUGAGUUUCACCUUGUCGACCAUUCUGUUAUAUCACCACCCAUAAACUGAGUCCCAAAUUUACAUAUUGUAUUUUAAAUUUUGAAUCUUUUCACUGAAGUAUUUGCAUCAUCCUAUAAUCAACAUUUAGGUAACUUUAUGUAUGCAAAAUAGUAGAUUAUAAGCUUUGCAAUGAUAUUAUAAUUGUUUUGGUUCAUGAUGUUCAUCUUGAAUACGUCAUAAUUCUUUUGCUUCAUAUUAAAAAGAUAAGCAUGUCUGAAAAUUCUUUUUGCACACUAAGCCUCUUUAAGAGGCCUUUUAGUUUUCUGUUCUUUAGUUUUGGUAGUUGUACUAAUAAUUUGUAUCUGUAUGAAAGUUAAAACUACUUAUUCUAAGAUGUUUCCAUUGACUUCAGCUUUACUGGGAAUCUUAGCAUUUGGAGCACAAAGUUUUGGCUUGCCAAACUUGCAAGUGUGCAGUGGAGCAGCUCAUCUCAGUAUUUUGUAGUAGUUCCAAGGAUUCAAAUAACAUACUCUUAGAAGGUGUUAAUAUACCAGUUCUGAAGGGCUCUUGAAUUUUUAUACUAAUCAUGUUCAUCUUUUGAUAUUUGUUAUUAUUGUCAAUUGAGAUAACUGUGCUUCCAAUCUCUAAUUAUUGUCAAUUGAGAUAACUGUGCAGCGGCUGUUAGGGUUUCGCCGAAUGAAGCUCUGAUAAUGCUACUGUAAUAUGUUCUCACCCUCAUUUUCUCUCUCCAUAGAUAAACAAUUAUCUAUUUGUUUGAAUUUCUAUUUCCGAUUUGUUAAAAUGUCUCCGAGGGUCACUGAUGAUUAAUGUGAUUGGUCUCGUUCGUCGUAAUGGCAGAUCUUUCUGCCUUGCCGAUUAUCCUGAUAUAUAAUCUGAGACCAGUCCGGAGUAUAAGCAAAAUGUAAAUGUUUCUUUAUGUUGGUUUAUAAAUGAAUUUAGUUUUUUUUAAUAAUAAUUGUGUGUUCAUAUUUAGAUUGGCCUAUGAUUAAAAGUUUUUUCAAAGACAAGCAUAUGUCUGAAUCAUGCUGUGUUGAAUACCUAACCUUCUCUAUGAGGCCAAUUAUGUCUUCUUUUUUUCCUUUAAAAAGAAAGUUUAUAGGCGUUAGUGUGGUUAAUUUUUUUAUGGAGUGAUUAGCAUGAAGUGAACUAUCAAUACAGUGAUGAUAUACAGACGGACAGAUUAACCUCCUGUGUGUGGGCAGAAGUGAACUUGUCAGCACUGUAUUAAAUUUCAUGCUAACUAGAUCUAUUUUUUCUAGCCAAUGAUGAGAGAUAGUGUACUAUGUAAUAUUAUGAUUAUUCAUGAUUCCAACAAUACUACUGCCUUCCUUCUGAGGCUUGGCUUUUGUUCUCCUUUGAUUUUUGUUUUUCAUUUUUUGUUUUAUAUUAGGGCAUUACUCCAACAUAUUUAAUGUAUACACACACAUUGAUAUGCAUCUGAAUUGGUACGGUUGUGUGAUGAUCUGAAGCAUAGUUCAAAUGACAAUCUAUAUGAUUAUAAUUUUGAAAUAGUCUUUCGCUCCUAUCUGAUGACCCCCAUUAUGAUAUAUUAUUGAUUUAAUGUUAUAAACAUAAAUUUUGUUUAUUUAUUUGUGACCUUGAAUAAAGUCUUCAUAUUUGUUUGUUUUCAUUUAUGUUUCAAGGUUGUAGUUUUGUAGAAAUGAAAAUGAGGGACUGUGAUGCCUAAAUGUGAUCUCGUUCGUCGUAAUGGUGAGUUUCACCUUGCCGACCAUUCUGUUAUAUCACCACCCAUAAACUGAGUCCCAAAAAAUUACAUAUUGUAUUUUAAAUUUUUAGUCUUUUCACUAAAGUAUUUGCAUCAUCUUAUAAUUAACAUUUAGGUAACUUUAUGUAUGCAAAAUAGUAGAUUAUAAGCUUUGCAAUGAUAUUAUAAUUGUUUUGGUUCAUGAUGUUCAUCUUGAAUACAUCACUAUUCUUUUGUUUCAUAUUAAAAGACAAGAAUGCAUGUCUGAAAUAAUACUUUUUGCACACUAAGCUUCUCUAAGAGGCCUUUUAGUUUUCUGUUCUUUUGUUUUGGUAGUUGUACUAAUAAUUUGUAUCUGUAUGAAAGUUAAGACUACUUAUUCUAAGAUUCUCUAUUAUUAGUUCCUUGUGGCUUCAAUGAAGGGUUUCCAUUGACUUCAGCUUUAUUGGGAAUCUUAGCAUUUGGAGCACAAAGUUUUGGCUUGCCAGAAGUGUGCAGUGGAGCAGCUCAUCUCAGUUUCACAUAUUUUUAGUGUUGCUAACAUGUUGAUCUAUGUAUUUUGUAGUAGUUCCAAGAAUUCAAAUAACAUACUCUUAGAACGUGUUAAUAUACCAGUUCUGAAGGGCUCUGGGAUUUUUAUACUAAUCAUGUUCAUCUUUUGAUAUUUGUUAUUAUUGUCAAUUGAGAUAACUAACUGUGCUUCCAAUCUCACCGAGGUCAUUGAGUGGAAGCAGAAAAUGCAUUAAACACUUUUACAGUUGACUUUGAAGAAGACUCGAGGUACAAGUUAUACAGUUCUUAUAAUUUCACUUUCUUCAAUCAGGAAACCCUAAUUCCGCGACGACGCCUCUCUACAAGUACAAGCAAACAAGAAGCACAAGUCGCACCAUCUCCCAUCAGCUGCUGAGUUAGGGUUUCGCCGAAUGAAGCUCUGAUAAUGCUACUGUAAUAUGUUCUCACCCUCAUAUUCUCUCUCCAUAGAUAAACUUAUAUCUUUUUGUUUUAAUUUCUAUUUCCGAUUUGUUAAAAUGUCUUCGUGGGUCACCGAUGAUUAAUGUGAUUGGUCUCGUUUGUCGUAAUGGCAGAUCUUUCUGCCUUGCCGAUUAUCCUGAUUUAUAAUCCGAGUCCAGUCCGGAGUAUAAGCAAAAUGUAAAUGUUUCUUUAUGUUGGUUGUAAAUGAAUUUAGUUUUUUUUUAUAAUAAUUUUGUGUUCAUAUUUAGACUGGCCUAUGAUUAAAAGUUUAUUCAAAGACAAGCAUAUGUCUGAAUCAUGAUAUGUUGAAUACCUAAUCUUCUCUAUGAGGCCAAUUACAUUUUUUCCUUUAAAAAAAAAGUUUAUAUAGGUGUUUGUUUGAGGAGUGGUUAGCAUGCAAGUUCAUUCAGGGAUAACCCAUCCGUGUGUGUGUCAGCAGCACUGUAUUGGGCUCUGCUAAUUUGAUCCUCUGGUUAAUUUUUUCAAGCCAAUGAUGAGAGACAGUGUACUAUGUAAUAUUAUGAUUAUUCAUGAUUCCAACAAUACUACUGCCUUCCUUCUGAUGCUUGGCUUUUGUUCUCCUUUGAUUUUUGUUUUAUAUUAGGCAUUACUCCAACAUAUUUAAUGGUGAGUUUCACCUUGCUGACCAUUCUGUUAUAUCACCACCCAUAAACUGAGUCCCAAAAUUACAUAUUGUAUUUUAAAUUUUGAGUCUUCACUAAAGUAUUCGUAUCAUCCUAUAAUCAACAUUUAGGUAACUUUAUGUAUGCAAAAUAGUAGAUUAUAAGCUUUGCAAUGAUAUUAUAAUUGUUUUGGUUCAUGAUUUUGAUCUUGAAUACAUCACUAUUCUUUUGCUUCAUAUUAAAAAGACAUGCAUGUCUAAAAUAAUACUUUCUAAGAGGCCUUUUAGUUUUCUCUUUGGUUUUGGUAGUUGUACUAGUAAUUUGUAUCUGUAUGAAAGUUGAGACUAGUUAUUCUCUAUUAUUAGUUCCUUGUGGCUUCAAUGAAGGGUUUCCAUUGACUUGAGCUUUGCUGGGAAUGUUGGCAUUUGGAGCACAAAGUUUUGGCUUGCCAGACUUGCAAGUGUGCAGUGGAGCAGCUCGCUCAUCACAUUUCACAUAUUUUUAGUGUUGCUAACAUGUAUUUUGUAGUAGUUCCAAGGAUUCAAAUAACAUACUCUUAGUUCUGAAGGGCUCUGGGAUUUUUAUACUAAUCAUGUUCAUCUUUUGAUAACUGUGCUUCCAAUCUCUAUUAUAGAGAAGACUUUGUUAGGCUAAGACAUGUUCAGACCCGAACAACUGAAAAAGACUUUUGUCUCGAUGCGUUUUUAAACUUUCGCC
rnacentral:lncRNA from 1 species